GACGAACGCUGGCGGCGUGCUUAACACAUGCAAGUCGAACGGAAAGGCCCUGCUUUUGUGGGGUGCUCGAGUGGCGAACGGGGGAGUAACACGUGAGUAACCUGCCCUUGACUUUGGGAUAACUUCAGGAAACUGGGGCUAAUACCGGAUAGGAGCUCCUGCUGCAUGGGGGGGGUUGGAAAGUUUCGGCGGUUGGGGAUGGACUCGCGGGUUAUCCGCUUGUUGGGGGGGUAGGGGCUUACCAGGGCUUUGAAGGAUAGCCGGCAUUAGAGGGUGAACGGCCACAAGGGGCCUGAGAGAGGGACCAGACGCCAACGGUAGGCAGCAGUGGGGAAUAUUGCGCAAUGGGCGGAAGCCUGAGGCAGCAACGCUCCGUGCGGGAUGACGGCUUUCGGGUGGUAAACCGCUGUCGCCUGUGACGAAGCGUGAGUGACGGUAAUGGGUAAAGAAGCACCGGCUAACUACGUG
rnacentral:rRNA from 1 species